UACGGGGGGGGCAAGCGUUGUUCGGAAUUACUGGGCGUAAAGGGCGCGUAGGCGGCCUGCUAAGUCGGAUGUGAAAUCCCUCGGCUCAACCGGGGAACUGCAUCCGAUACUGGCGGGCUUGAAUCCGGGAGAGGGAUGUGGAAUUCCAGGUGUAGCGGUGAAAUGCGUAGAUAUCUGGAGGAACACCGGUGGCGAAGGCGGCAUCCUGGACCGGUAUUGACGCUGAGGCGCGAAAGCUAGGGGAGCAAACGGG
rnacentral:rRNA from 1 species